UCUCGCCUAGGACAAGUAACAAUAAUAAAUAAUAAUUCUUUAAAUUGAAGCUGCUUCCACCGAACCAGUCCAUAAGCACAAACAACCACAUCAGUUCUUUUGACGAACGUAUCCACCGGCUGAUUAUGACGAACAAGGCGAGACGCCAACUCCACCUCCCGAUCAUCCUCUUAAAAAACACUAAUUUACAUAUCCUCCCAGCGAUUGUGUUACCAACGAUUCCUUCAGAUGAAUUAUCAAACAAACUUUCUUUUUUUUAUUUUUUUUCUUUAACUAUUAUUAAAACUCCAAAACCAACAUUGCCAUAUAAACUUCCUCCACUCUUUUGUAUGUAAAUGAGAUGGCAAAAACUGCCCUCCACCGGAACCGCAGCCAUCCACUCCAACGGCAUCUCCCCGUGCAGGUAAGCCUCAAAGUUCAACUCCUCACACAAGGUAGGCUGCAUCUAUAUCAUAUAUAAAUUUACUAAUCCUAUGAAAGAUCAGUUAUAAGAGAAAUUUGUCAAUUUUAGUAUAGAA
rnacentral:lncRNA from 1 species